rnacentral:rRNA from 1 species
UGAGGAAUAUUGCACAAUGGGCGCAAGCCUGAUGCAGCAACGCCGCGUGGAUGAUGAAGGCCUUCGGGUUGUAAAAUCCUUUUCUGGGGAAAGAUAAUGACGGUACCCCAGGAAUAAGUUCCGGCUAACUACGUGCCAGCAGCCGCGGUAAAACGUAGGGGACGAGCGUUGUUCGGAUUUACUGGGCGUAAAGGGCGCGUAGGCGGCAUGACAAGUCACUUGUGAAAUCUCUGGGCUUAACCCAGAACGGCCAAGUGAUACUGUCGCGCUAGAGUGCAGAAGGGGCAAUCGGAAUUCUUGGUGUAGCGGUGAAAUGCGUAGAUAUCAAGAGGAACACCUGAGGUGAAGACGGGUUGCUGGGCUGACACUGACGCUGAGGCGCGAAAGCCAGGGGAGCAAACGGGAUUAGAUACCCCCGUAGUCCCUGAGCGGGCUGGCAAGGCGCAU